rnacentral:rRNA from 1 species
AGCGAACGCUGGCGGCAGGCUUAACACAUGCAAGUCGAGCGGGCAUAGCAAUAUGUCCGCGGCAGACGGGUGAGUAACGCGUGGGAACGUACCUUUUGGUUCGGAACAACACAGGGAAACUUGUGCUAAUACCGGAUAAGCCCUUACGGGGAAAGAUUUAUCGCCGAAAGAUCGGCCCGCGUCUGAUUAGCUAGUUGGUGAGGUAAUGGCUCACCAAGGCGACGAUCAGUAGCUGGUCUGAGAGGAUGAUCAGCCACAUUGGGACUGAGACACGGCCCAAACUCCUACGGGAGGCAGCAGUGGGGAAUAUUGGACAAUGGGCGCAAGCCUGAUCCAGCCAUGCCGCGUGAGUGAUGAAGGCCCUAGGGUUGUAAAGCUCUUUUGUGCGGGAAGAUAAUGACGGUACCGCAAGAAUAAGCCCCGGCUAACUUCGU